GACGAACGCUGGCGGCGUGCCUAAUACAUGCAAGUAGAACGCUGAAGGAGGAGCUUGCUUCUCUGGAUGAGUUGCGAACGGGUGAGUAACGCGUAGGUAACCUGCCUGGUAGCGGGGGAUAACUAUUGGAAACGAUAGCUAAUACCGCAUAACAGUAGAUGUUGCAUGACAUUUGCUUAAAAGGUGCAAUUGCAUCACUACCAGAUGGACCUGCGUUGUAUUAGCUAGUUGGUGGGGUAACGGCUCACCAAGGCGACGAUACAUAGCCGACCUGAGAGGGUGAUCGGCCACACUGGGACUGAGACACGGCCCAGACUCCUACGGGAGGCAGCUGUAGGGAAUCUUCGGCAAUGGACGGAAGUCUGACCGAGCAACGCCGCGUGAGUGAAGAAGGUUUUCGGAUCGUAAAGCUCUGUUGUAAGAGAAGAACGAGUGUGAGAGUGGAAAGUUCACACUGUGACGGUAUCUACCAG
rnacentral:rRNA from 1 species